rnacentral:lncRNA from 1 species
AAUAUAAGAAUAUUUUUUUUAUCAAGAAAAGGCUCGAAAGAUAUGUAUAAUGUUUUAUUUGAAAAAAGCAGUACUAAACUUAGAUGUGAAGAAAAAUGGUCCUUAACACUCAACAAAAAUUUUGAUUGGAAAACUGUGCAUAAUAUGUCUUUUUACUCCACAAAAAGCUCAAAACUCCACUGGUUCCAAUAUAGAAUAAUACACAGAAUAUUGGGCACAAAUAAAUUUUUAUUUAAGAUAAAAAUAAAACAAAGCGAUAAAUGUACUUUCUGCAGUGAAGUUACUGAAGAUAUUGAACACACAUAUUUUGGACAUGCCAUAAAAUAGCAGAUCUGUGGAUAAGACUCAUGGACUGGAUUUAUAACCAAACACAAAUAAUUAUUCCAUUUAACAUGGAUAUAAUUUUAUUCGGAAAUUUAGGAAAAACAGAAAAUAAUAAAAUAAAAAACUUAAUAAUACUUUUAUCAAAAUUCUUUAUCUAUAGAACAAAACUGUGUGAAAAUCAAGUAAAUUUUGCAGGGCUGAAAAACUAUCUAAAAGAAAAUCUAAUACUAGAAAAGAAUAUAUUUUUUAAAACAAAGCCUCUUCACAUUGCCAACCUCUACUGGGACCCCUGGCUUCCAUUAUUAGAAUAAUUUACACUUAAGCAACUUAAUUAGCAUUACCCUAUGUAAUGUUAUUGUGCAUUUUAUUUUAGCCUUCUCACACCAACAUAUAUAUGUUUUUAUUUAAUAUACUGUUAUAUGUUGUUUAUUGUUUAUUGUCUUUUGUUCUUGUUUUGUGCCUAAAAUGCAUAUACAUUCUCUAAUAUCUGUUUUGUGUUUGUAUGAAUUAUUUACAAUGGAAAACCAACUUUGCCAAAUUUAUUUAAUGUUGUAUCUUAAGAAAAAAAUACUGCUGCCAAAUUCCAAAUUUCAAGGACUUUCUAUUUUUUUUUUUUAUUUUUUUUUCUCUAGUUUUUAUUUUUUUUUUUUUUUUUGUUUUGCAUUUGUGUUUUAAUUAUUUAUUAUUUUCUCUUCUCUUCUCACAUUCUCUCUUAAAUAAAAUUCUCACUUUAUUGAUCAAUAUUGAAAUAAUUGAUACACAAUAAUAUACUGUAUAUAUAUUUUAUAAUUUUGAGUACUAACAAUUACUAACAAUUUUUCUAAAUAUACAAUCUAAUGUUUAACGAGGCCGGGAUAAGGUACCGGUACUUUCUGUAUCAAACUAACAAAUGUGAAAGUUUUCAAUAAAGUAUGUAUAAUUUAAAAAAAAAAAAAAAAAAAAAAAA